rfam:Dipodomys ordii contig_4329, whole genome shotgun sequence.
GGGAAGGUGGCUCAGUGGUAGAGCGCUUGCCUUGCAUGCAUGAGGCCCUGGGAUCGAUUCCUCAGCAUCCCA